rnacentral:rRNA from 1 species
GACGAACGCUGGCGGCGUGCUUAACACAUGCAAGUCGAACGGAAAGGCCCUGCUUGCAGGGUACUCGAGUGGCGAACGGGUGAGUAACACGUGGGUGAUCUGCCCUGCACUUCGGGAUAAGCUUGGGAAACUGGGUCUAAUACCGGAUAGGAGCCAUCUUUAGUGUGGUGGUUGGAAAGUUUUUUCGGUGUAGGAUGAGCUCGCGGCCUAUCAGCUUGUUGGUGGGGUAAUGGCCUACCAAGGCGGCGACGGGUAGCCGGCCUGAGAGGGUGUACGGCCACAUUGGGACUGAGAUACGGCCCAGACUCCUACGGGAGGCAGCAGUGGGGAAUAUUGCACAAUGGGCGCAAGCCUGACGCAGCGACGCCGCGUGGGGGAUGAAGGCCUUCGGGUUGUAAACUCCUUUCGCUAGGGACGAAGCUUUUUUGUGACGGUACCUAGAUAAGAAGCACCGGCUAACUACGUG